rnacentral:rRNA from 1 species
AGAGUUUGAUCAUGGCUCAGAUUGAACGCUGGCGGCAGGCCUAACACAUGCAAGUCGAACGGUAACAGGAAGAAGCUUGCUUCUUUGCUGACGAGUGGCGGACGGGUGAGUAAUGUCUGGGAAACUGCCUGAUGGGGGGGAUAACUACUGAAACGGUAGCUAAUACCGCAUAACGUCGCAAGACCAAAGAGGGGUACCUUCGGGCCUCUUGCCAUCGGAUGUGCCCAGAUGGGAUUAGCUAGUUGGUGGGGUAACGGCUCACCUAGGCGACGAUCCCUAGCUGGUCUGAGAGGAUGACCAGCCACACUGGAACUGAGACACGGUCCAGACUCCUACGGGAGGCAGCAGUGGGGAAUAUUGCACAAUGGGCGCAAGCCUGAUGCAGCCAUGCCGCGUGUAUGAAGAAGGCCUUCGGGUUGUAAAGUACUUUCAGCGGGGAGGAAGGGAGUAAAGUUAAUACCUUUGCUCAUUGACGUUACCCGCAGAAGAAGCACCGGCUAACUCCGUGCCAGCAGCCGCCGUAAUACGGAAGGUGCAAGCGUUAAUCGGAAUUACUGGGCGUAAAGCGCACGCAGGCGGUUUGUUAAGUCAGAUGUGAAAUCCCCGGGCUCAACCUGUGAACUGCAUCUGAUACUGGCAAGCUUGAGUCUCGUAGAGGGGGGUAGAAUUCCAGGUGUAGCGGUGAAAUGCGUAGAGAUCUGGAGGAAUACCGGUGGCGAAGGCGGCCCCCUGGACGAAGACUGACGCUCAGGUGCGAAAGCGUGGGGAGCAAACAGGAUUAGAUACCCUGGUAGUCCACGCCGUAAACGAUGUCGACUUGGAGGUUGUGCCCUUGAGGCGUGGCUUCCGGAGUUAACGCGUUAAGUCGACCGCCUGGGGAGUACGGCCGCAAGGUUAAAACUCAAAUGAAUUGACGGGGGCCCGCACAAGCGGUGGAGCAUGUGGCUUAAUUCGAUGCAACGCGAAGAACCUUACCUGGUCUUGACAUCCACGGAAGUUUUCAGAGAUGAGAAUGUGCCUUCGGGAACCGUGAGACAGGUGCUGCAUGGCUGUCGCGGGCGCAGGAAAUUUGAGAGGAGCUGUCCUUAGUACGAGAGGACCGGGAUGGACGCACCGCUAGUGUACCAGUUGUUCUGCCAAGGGCAUCGCUGGGUAGCUAUGUGCGGACGGGAUAAGUGCUGAAAGCAUCUAAGCAUGAAGCCCCCCUCAAGAUGAGAUUUCCCAUUCCGCAAGGAAGUAAGAUCCCUGAAAGAUGAUCAGGUUGAUAGGUCUGAGGUGGAAGUGUGGCGACACAUGGAGCUGACAGAUACUAAUCGAUCGAGGACUU